UACGAGGGGAGGCAAGCGUUGUUCGGAAUUAUUGGGCGUAAAGGGCGCGUAGGCGGUGCGGUAAGUCACCUGUGAAACUCUGGCCCACUCAGAGCCUGCAGGCGAACUGCCGUGCUUGAGUGUGGGAGAGGUGCGUGGAAUUCCGGUGUAGCGGUGAAAUGCGUAGAUAUCGGAGGAACACCUGUGCGAAAGCGGCGCACUGGACCACAACUGACGCUGAGAAGCGAAAGCAUGGGGGGAGCGAAACAGG
rnacentral:rRNA from 1 species